AGAGUUUGAUCCUGGCUCAGGAUGAACGCUAGCGGCAGGCCUAAUACAUGCAAGUCGGACGGUAGCCGACCCUUCGGGGCCGGCGAGAGUGGCGGACGGGUGCGUAACGCGUAUGCAACCAACCCCCCACAGCGGGACAGCCGGUGGAAACGCCGGGCAAUCCCGCAUGCCGCCGUGUCGGGGCAUCCCGGCAUGGCGAAAGGCUACGGCCGGUGGGGGACGGGCAUGCGUGCCAUUAGCUGGUUGGCGGGGCGACGGCCCACCAAGGCGACGAUGGCUAGGGGAUCUGAGAGGACGGUCCCCCACACUGGUACUGAGACACGGACCAGACUCCUGCGGGAGGCAGCAGUAAGGGAUAUUGGGCAAUGGGGGGAACCCUGACCCAGCCAUGCCGCGUGAGGGAAUGGGGCCCUACGGGUCGUGAACCUCUUUUGCCGGGGGACAACGGCGGCGUCGAGAACGCCGCGUGCGGGUACCCGGCGAAUAAGCGUCGGCUAACUCCGUGCCAGCAGCCGCGGUAAUACGGAGGACGCGAGCGUUAUCCGGAUUCAUUGGGUUUAAAGGGUGCGCAGGCGGCCUGCCAAGUCAGCGGUGAAAGCCCGGGGCCCAACCCCGGAAGUGCCGUUGAUACUGUCGGGCUGGAAUGCGGUCGAGGCGGGCGGAACGUGGCGUGUAGCGGUGAAAUGCGUAGAUAUGCCACAGAACGCCGAUAGCGGAGGCAGCUCGCCAGGCCUGCAUUGACGCUCGGGCACGAAAGCGUGGGGAUCGAACAAGAUUAGAUACCCUGGUAGUCCACGCCGU
rnacentral:rRNA from 1 species